UACGAAGGGGGCUAGCGUUGCUCGGAAUUACUGGGCGUAAAGCGCACGUAGGCGGUCUUUUAAGUCGGUGGUGAAAGCCCGGGGCUCAACUCCGGAAUUGCCUUUAAGACUGCAUCGCUAGAAUUGUGGAGAGGUAAGUGGAAUUCCGAGUGUAGAGGUGAAAUUCGUAGAUAUUCGGAAGAACACCAGUGGCGAAGGCGACUUACUGGACACAUAUUGACGCUGAGGUGCGAAAGCGUGGGGAGCAAACAGG
rnacentral:rRNA from 1 species